CGUCCUCUGAUGCCAUCGCCGGAAUCCUAAGUCAAACUUCCGGCGCUGUCUGCUGCUAUUCCGGCGCCUCUUAUUCACUGGAAAUGGGAGUUAGCAUUCGAGAUAGAGAGAGAUGGAGGCGUUGGCCGGAGAGAGAGAGAGAGAGAGAUAGCGAAAAAGAGAAUAUUAUUUAAUCGUUAAUAAAAUUAGGUUAUCUAUAAAUAACCCUAACCCGCAGGCGAGGUUACUAUAGUCAUACGGUGUUUUAUCGUUGCUCUGUGCCGCUGGCCAGGGUGUUGUGUCUUCUGAAGCAAAGGA
rnacentral:misc_RNA from 1 species